rnacentral:rRNA from 1 species
CCUACGGGAGGCUCCAGGCGAGAAAACUUUGCAAUGUGCGAAAGCACGACAAGGUUAAUCCGAGUGGUUUCUGCUAAAGAAACCUUUUGUUAGUCCUAGAAACACUGAUGAAUAAGGGGUGGGCAAGUUCUGGUGUCAGCCGCCGCGGUAAAACCAGCACCUCAAGUGGUCAGGAUGAUUAUUGGGCCUAAAGCAUCCGUAGCCGGCUAUGUAAGUUUUCGGUUAAAUCUGUGCGCUUAACGUACAGGCUGCCGGGAAUACUGCAUAGCUAGGAAGUGGGAGAGGUAGACGGUACUCGGUAGGAAGGGGUUAAAUCCUGAUCUAUUGAUGACCACCUGUGGCGAAGGCGGUCUACCAGAACACGUUCGACGGUGAGGGAUGAAAGCUGGGGGAGCAAACCGGAUUAGAUACCCCAGUAGUC